rnacentral:rRNA from 1 species
GAUGAACGCUAGCGGCAGGCUUAACACAUGCAAGUCGAGGGGUAGAGGAAGCUUGCUUCCUUGAGACCGGCGCACGGGUGCGUAACGCGUAUGCAACCUACCUUUUACAGAGGGAUAGCCCAGAGAAAUUUGGAUUAAUACCUCAUGGUAUAUAUCAUUCGCAUGUUUGAUAUAUUAAAGUUCCAACGGUAAAAGAUGGGCAUGCGUCCUAUUAGCUAGAUGGUAAGGUAACGGCUUACCAUGGCAACGAUAGGUAGGGGUCCUGAGAGGGAGAUCCCCCCCACUGGUACUGAGAAACGGACCAGACUCCUACGGGAGGCAGCAGUGAGGAAUAUUGGACAAUGGGCGCAAGCCUGAUCCAGCCAUGCCGCGUGCAGGAAGAAGCAUCUAUGGUGUGUAAACUGCUUUUGUACGGGAAGAAACACUCCUUCGUGAAGGAGCUUGACGGUACCGUAAGAAUAAGGAUCGGCUAACUCCGUGCCAGCAGCCGCAGUAAGAC